rnacentral:rRNA from 1 species
CGCGUAGGCGGACCUGCAAGUGGUGUGUGAAAUGCCCUGGCUCAACCAGGGAACUGCGCUCCAAACUGCAGGCCUUGAGGGCAGUAGAGGAAGCUGGAAUUCCUGGUGUAGCGGUGAAAUGCGUAGAUAUCAGGAGGAACACCGUUGGCGAAGGCGGGCUUCUGGGCUGUCCCUGACGCUGAGGCGCGAAAGCUGGGGGAGCAAACA